rnacentral:rRNA from 1 species
AGUGAACGCUGGCGGCGUGCCUAAUACAUGCAAGUCGAACGGAGUGACGCACGGGUGAGUAAUGUAUAGCUAAUCUGCCCUACACUAGAGGACAACAGUUGGCAACGGCUGCUAAUACUCGAUAGUGUAGGAUGAGGCUAUAUUGUAUCAGCUAUUUGGUGAGGGAAUGGAUCACCAAGGCUAUGACGCAUAACUGGUCUGAGAGGAUGAUCAGUCACACUGGAACGGAGACACGGUCGAGAAUCCUACGGGAGGCAGCAGUAGGGAAUAUUGCUCAAGGGGGGAAACCCUGAAGCAGCAACGCCGCGUGGAUGAUGACACUUUUCGGAGCGUAAACUCCUUUUGUUAGGGAAGCGGUACCUAACGAAUAAGCACCGGAAAAAACGGUGCCAGCCGCGCGGUAAUUC